rnacentral:rRNA from 1 species
UACGGAGGGUGCAAGCGUUAAUCGGAAUUACUGGGCGUAAAGCGCACGCAGGUGGCUGAGUCAGUCGAUUGUGAAAGCCCUGGGCUUAACCUGGGAAUUGCGCUUGAAACUAGCGGGCUUGAGUGUGGCAGAGGGGGGUGGAAUUCCACGUGUAGCAGUGAAAUGCGUAGAGAUGUGGAGGAACACCGAUGGCGAAGGCAGCCCCCUGGGUCAACACUGACGCUCAUGCACGAAAGCGUGGGGAGCAAACAGG